GACGUAGGGCGCGAGCGUUUGUCCGGAUUUAUUGGGCGUAAAGAGCUCGUAGGCGGCUUGUCGCGUCGACUGUGAAAACCCGAGGCUCAACUUCGGGCUUGCAGUCGAUACGGGCAGGCUAGAGUUCGGUAGGGGAGACUGGAAUUCCUGGUGUAGCGGUGAAAUGCGCAGAUAUCAGGAGGAACACCGAUGGCGAAGGCAGGUCUCUGGGCCGAUACUGACGCUGAGGAGCGAAAGCGUGGGGAGCGAACAGG
rnacentral:rRNA from 1 species